AUUGAACGCUGGCGGCAGGCCUAACACAUGCAAGUCGAACGAGUGGCGGACUGGUGAGUGAUGUCUGGGAAACUGCCUGAUGUAGGGGGAUAACUACUGGAAACGGUAGCUAAUACCGCAUACCAUCAGAUGUGCCCAGAUGGGAGUAGCUGGUGGGUGGGGGAACGGCUCACCAAGGCGACGAUGCCUAGCUGGCCUGAGAGGAUGACCAGCCACACUGGAACUGAGACACGGUCCAGACUCCUACGGGAGGCAGCAGUGGGGAAUAUUGCGCAAUGGGCGAAAGCCUGAUGCAGCCAUGCCGCGUGUAUGAAGAAGGCCUUCGGGUUGUAAAGCACUGUUAGCGGGGAGGCGGUACCCGCAGAAGAAGCACCGGCUAACUCCGUGCCAGCAGCCGCGGUAAUAC
rnacentral:rRNA from 1 species